rnacentral:rRNA from 1 species
GACGAACGCUGGCGGCGUGCUUAACUCAUGCAAGUCGAACGAUGAAGCUGGAGCUUGCUCCGGUGGAUUAGUGGCGAACGGGUGAGUAACACGUGAGCAAUCUGCCCUUGACUCUGGGAUAACUGCGGGAAACUGUAGCUAAUACCGGAUACGACCCUCGGCGGCAUCGCCAGGGGGUGGAAAGAAUUUCGGUCAAGGAUGGACUCGCGGCCUAUCAGCUAGUUGGUGAGGUAACGGCUCACCAAGGCGACGACGGGUAGCCGGCCUGAGAGGGUGACCGGCCACACUGGGACUGAGACACGGCCCAGACUCCUACGGGAGGCAGCAGUGGGGAAUAUUGCACAAUGGGCGCAAGCCUGAUGCAGCAACGCCGCGUGAGGGAUGACGGCCUUCGGGUUGUAAACCUCUUUUAGUAGGGAAGAAGCGAAAGUGACGGUACCUGCAGAAAAAGCACCGGCUAACUACGUGCCAGCCGCCGCCGUAA